UUCCGGUUGAUCCCGCCGGACCCUACUGCUAUCGGGGGAGGACUAAAACACGCAAGUCGUGCGCCUCCAAGCCAUGGUGGAGACGCGGCAUCCGGCUCAGUAACACGUGGCUAACCCACCCUUGAGACGGGGAAAACCCCGGGAAACUGGGGUUAAUCCCCGAUAAGAGAAGACACCUGGAAUGGGUCUCCUCUCAAAGGGCGCCUAGACCAUGCUUCUGGGCGUUGCUCAAGGACGGGGCCGCGGCCGAUCAGGUUGUUGGUGAGGUAACGGCUCACCAAGCCUAUAACCGGUACGGGCCGUGAGAGCGGGAGCCCGGAGAUGGGCACUGAGGCAAGGGCCCAGGCCCUACGGGGCGCAGCAGUCGCGAAAACUCCGCAAUGCGCGAAAGCGUGACGGGGCUACCCCGAGUGCCGUCCGCUGAGGAUGGCUUUUCCUCGGUGUAAUGAGCCGGGGGAAUAAGGAGAGGGCAAGUCUGGUGUCAGCCGCCGCGGUAAUACCAGCUCUCCGAGCAGUAGGGACGAUUAUUGGGCUUAAAGCGUCCGUAGCCGGCUUAGCAAGUCUCCUGUUAAAUUCAGCGACCUAAUCGUUGAGCCGCGGGAGAUACUACUAGGCUAGGAGGCGGGAGAGGCCGACGGUAUUCCCGGGGUAGGGGUGAAAUCCUAUAAUCCCGGGAGGACCACCAGUGGCGAAAGGCUGUCGGCUAGAACGCGCUCGACGGUGAGGGACGAAAGCUGGGGGAGCGAACCGGAUUAGAUACCCGGGUAGUCCCAGCUGUAAACGAUGCGGGCUAGGUGUUGAGGUGGCUACGAGCCACUUCAGUGCCGCAAGGGAAGCAAUUAAGCCCGCCGCCUGGGGGAGUACGGCCGCAGGCUGAAACUUAAGGAAUUGCGGGGGAGCACCACAAGCGUGAAGCUUGCGGUUCAAUUGGAAGUCACGCCGG
rnacentral:rRNA from 1 species